UUCUAACCCUGAUAGAACAUGGCCAGUUGCUCUGCUGGGGAAAGCCACGUCCAGUAGUGAGAUGCUGCUCAAACUGGCCCGGACCACACUGUACUGGCUGAGGAAUAAGCCUUACAUUUGUUCUGUCCAGGUGAAAGGAGAGGACUGUCCGUAAAGACAUGAGAAGCCUGCAGAUCCCGAUGACCCCCUCUUGCUGGUCAAAAUAUUAAAGAUCGAUAUUGUGGAAACAAUGACCCUGUAGCAGAUAAGCUUCUAAAGCAGGCUUCAACCACGCUUCAUCUUGAAUCACCAGCAGAGAAGGAUUCCACCAGAGUGUAUGUUGGUGAUCUGGCGGAUACCAUUACUCAGACAGAUUUAAGAAAUUGUCUCUGCCUGUUGGUGAGAUCCGGAUGGUCACCGUUGUGCAGAGAUAGCAGUGUGCCUUUCAUCCAGCUUUCCACAGGGUGGCUACAGAAGUGGGUGCCGACAAGUCCUCUAAUAAACUGAUUGUCAAUGGCUGCAGACUCCGUGUAAAAUGGGGACGAUUCCAAGCACUCAAGGGGAAAAAAAAAAAAAAAAA
rnacentral:lncRNA from 1 species